GUGCUUGCUUCAGCAGCACAUGUACUAAAAUUGAAACAAUACAGGAAAGAUUGUGGCCCCUGUGCAAGGAUGACACACAAAUUUGUGAAUCAUUCCAUUAAAGG
rnacentral:snRNA from 1 species